UACGGAGGGUGCGAGCGUUGUUCGAAAUUACUGGGCUUAAAGCGCGUGUAGGCGGGACUGUAAGUGUCGGGUGAAAGCCCUCGGCUCAACCGAGGAAUUGCUUGGCAUACUGCAGCCCUUGAGGCAUGUAGAGGUGACUGGAACGACUGGUGGAGCGGUGAAAUGCGUAGAUAUCAGUUGGAACGCCGGAGGCGAAAGCGGGUCACUGGGCAUGUCCUGACGCUGAGGAGCGAAAGCAUGGGGAGCGAACAGG
rnacentral:rRNA from 1 species